AAAUUGAAGAGUUUGAUCAUGGCUCAGAUUGAACGCUGGCGGCAGGCCUAACACAUGCAAGUCGAACGGUAACAGGAAGCAGCUUGCUGCUUUGCUGACGAGUGGCGGACGGGUGAGUAAUGUCUGGGAAACUGCCUGAUGGAGGGGGAUAACCACUGGAAACGGUGGCUAAUACCGCAUAACGUCGCAAGACCAAAGAGGGGGACCUUCGGGCCUCUUGCCAUCAGAUGUGCCCAGAUGGGAUUAGCU
rnacentral:rRNA from 1 species